AGACACAUUUGGAGAGGGACCC
rnacentral:miRNA from 1 species